rnacentral:rRNA from 1 species
AUUGAACGCUGGCGGCAUGCCUUACACAUGCAAGUCGAACGGCAGCACGGGUGCUUGCACCUGGUGGCGAGUGGCGAACGGGUGAGUAAUACAUCGGAACGUACCUUAUCGUGGGGGAUAACGCAGCGAAAGUUGCGCUAAUACCGCAUACGCCCUGAGGGGGAAAGCGGGGGACCGUAAGGCCUCGCGCGAUUAGAGCGGCCGAUGUCUGAUUAGCUUGUUGGUGAGGUAAAAGCUCACCAAGGCGAUGAUCAGUAGUUGGUCUGAGAGGACGAUCAGCCCCACUGGGACUGAGACACGGCCCAGACUCCUACGGGAGGCAGCAGUGGGGAAUUUUGGACAAUGGGGGCAACCCUGAUCCAGCAAUGCCGCGUGAGUGAAGAAGGCCUUCGGGUUGUAAAGCUCUUUUGUCAGGGAAGAGACAGCAGCUCUAACACAGUCUGCGAAUGACGGUACCUGAAGAAUAAGCACCGGCUAACUACGUGCCAGCAGCCGCGGUAA